AUCCGCCAUUGGUUCGUUGUUGUAAACUUGGUGUAACUGAAAUAAUUUUUGUUGUUUUUCAAUUUUAGAAAAUUACUUUUACAGAUCAUGGACAUUCUAAAGUUCUUUUGUUGUUUGUCUGCAUUAUUUUGUUUGACGAGUGCAAAAGGUUAUCGCAUCACCCCAAGUGGUAAAUGGAUAAACAAAACUUUUUCCCCUUUUAAACUAGACAUUUCCUGGAUCUUUUCCGUUUGAACUGCAGGACCUGCUGUGCUCAAUGGAAACAUCAGCCUUGGGAUAUUUAUACCAC